UUCAGCAACAGGUUUUCAUGUCCGCAGGUUCCGAGGAGAUCUCUCAAUCGCCAGUGCAGGCGGUGGAGCCCACUCGCUGCGUCCUCCUGGAGCCUGCGUUUGAAUUUAGGAGAAGUUUGAAGUGCAGCACUCUGAAGGCUACCGGCAGAUCUCAGCCUUGGAGGAUGACCUCGCGCAGACCAAAGCCAUUAAAGACCAAUUGCAGAAAUACAUCAGAGAGCUGGAGCAAGCAAACGACGACCUGGAAAGAGCCAAGCGCGCCACGAUCAUGUCUCUCGAAGACUUUGAGCAGCGCUUGAAUCAGGCCAUCGAAAGAAAUGCCUUCCUGGAAAGUGAACUUGAUGAAAAAGAG
rnacentral:sRNA from 1 species